UACGGGGGGGGCAAGCGUUGUUCGGAAUUACUGGGCGUAAAGGGCUCGUAGGCGGCCAACUAAGUCAGACGUGAAAUCCCUCGGCUUAACCGGGGAACUGCGUCUGAUACUGGAUGGCUUGAGUUCGGGAGAGGGAUGCGGAAUUCCAGGUGUAGCGGUGAAAUGCGUAGAUAUUGGGAAGAACACCGGUGGCGAAGGCGGUUCUCUGGGCCUGUACUGACGCUGAGGAGCGAAAGCGUGGGGAGCGAACAGG
rnacentral:rRNA from 1 species